rnacentral:lncRNA from 1 species
AGGGGCUCCUGGGAGAUGUAGUCUGGGGCCUGGAAAGGCGCCGCGCAAAGGACUCUGGGGCUGUUCGUUCAGAGAAAGCGCAAGCGAUAUCCCACCCCUGGCCUGGAGCAACAUCCCUUCGCUCCUCUCCGGGGUCCAUUCGUGUCCGGGCCGGGAUCCCUCAACCUCACGAUCCGGGAGUGGCCGUCCUGAACGGCGCAACGUACCGGAGGCUUCUGGGACGUGCAGCCUGGGCUCGCAGUGCGCAUGCGCGAGCGCGUGCGUUACGGUCCGUGGGUGAGCCUGGCUCCCCAAACCCCUCUGAGCUCCAGGGGCAAAGGGGAGGGUGUUGGGGCUAGAAGCCCCCGGACGGGAACGUGUAGGUGUGGAUGCUGGGGAGGCUGGGUUUGGUUGAAGGGAUCAAGGAAGGGUCUCAGCACCCGAAAACAUCUACGUGAUUUUAUAAAGACAGCAACAAGUGGGGCCCUGGGAAGCGCUAGGCGGCCCUUGCGCGUGCGCGCGGCGCAGCGUGUUCCGAGGGCUGGUGUAGGGGCGGGGCCUCGGGCGGGCACGCGAGCGGCGAUGCCCCCAAGAGCGGCUCUGAGUGCGCGAGCGCGCCUGCGUAUGCCUGCCUGUGAGUGGGUUGGGGGCCUCAGGUCUGUGCCUGUGGAAAGGUCCCGGGAGAGCAGUGCUGAGUUCCUUGGAGAAAAUUAUUUUGUGGACAAGAAUCGUGCUCCUUCAACUUGGGGUGUGUGCCAAGGGCAAACAGCCAUGAGAAUCCACAGGAUGGAUGCGUUGCCACUUCCUGGAGCAAUCCAUUUUACUUGAGGAAUCAGAAGAGAAGAAUCUGGUAAAUGAUUUAAAGCAUGAUUUUAUAUUAACACAGACUCAGAUUUAUCAUGAUGUAGGAUGCAAAAAGUUAUAUGGAUGUUUCAGAACAAAACAGAAGAUUUCAAGAGUUUUAUGUUAUGGGGCAACUGCAUUGGGGUAUUCUCAGGCCACAGAGCUAGCCAUUAACCCUCCUCUACUGUGCAGGGACAUUUGUCAGAAGUUCUCAGACGCCACGUGUCAGUGAAGUGCUAGAGCUGGCUUGCCCCGCCUCACAUGAACCCGUUGUGCACACCUCUCCCCAGUUCCAUGUUCAGUGACAUCAGUUUGAUAUAUUACAGUGGGCCCUGGUGGGAGUAUGUACACCAUGGAAAUUGGCAGACACUGCAAAUUACCCAGCACAUCACUGUCCCAAGGUUGAAUACAGAGAGAAUUCAGGCAUCCAGGAUUCUUUGUCACCAUUUUCUACACAAGGGAAGUCUUGCUCAGCACAGUCAGAAUUGAAGGCCAGGCCACUCGGUUUGUCACUGAGCCACAACUCAUCAACCUUAGUGUGGUCUGCUCCAAAGCUCCCCAAGUGCUGUGGCACUCUGAUAUAACAGAGGUACAUAUCUCGUAAAUGUGGUGCCACAUUGACACCUCCCAAACCCUGCCAGAGAAGACAGUGUGAGUAUUUGCCGUGUAGACCCUUAUCCUGCUCCAAGAGGGCAGACUGUGCUGCAUGUGGAUGGGGCUUAAACCCAGGCUUCAUCACUUAAAGCCCUGAGACGUCGGGCAGGUCUUCUUCCCUCUUUCAUCCUCAGAAUGGAAACUGGAACCCAUGUGGUCAGUUUGCUCUAAAGGUGAAAUCAUAUAAUGCAUAUAAAUAUCCAGUACAACUCUCAGUCUCAUACUUACUACUUUUAUUGAUUUUUAAAUUUUUAUUGGGGUAUAGUUGAUUUACAAUGUUGUGAUAGUUUCAGGUGUACAGCAAAGUGAAUCAGUUAUACAUAUAUCCACUCUUUUUCAGAUUCUUUUCCCAUAUAGGUCAUUACAGAGUAUUGAGUAGAGUUCCCUGUGCUGUACAGUAGGUCCUUAUUAUCUCAUACUUAUUAUUAACUGGGAGGCAUUGUUGUCACCAGGGGUUGAGCACAUUUAACAUGCACACACCUGAGGGCUUCCCCAGAGUACAGAAGGACAGUAGACUGUUCAGAACAAAAGACUCACAGCCCACAGCACUGGCCACAUGCCAGACUAAUAACAACAAAAAUGAUAAGUACAGCUACCAUGAUAAUUGUCUUAUUUGCUCCUCACAGCAGCAGCCCUUCACCUUCCUUUUGCAGACAUAAAGGAUCAAGGUAAAGACCCAGUAAGGUUCAGUGUCUUGCCCAAGGCCACACAGAUAAACACAGGAAUGUUGGUCAACUCACAGCGUGCAGUGGAGAACAGGAGGUGAAGGCAAAGGCAGAUGUAGUAACAAUAGAAUUAGUUUCCCACGUAAUGAAGUGGCACCUACUGCAUGUUCAAGAGGCCCCUACCCCAGCUAAGGGGGCCAGGGAGGGCUCUUUGAAGAAGUGAUGGUAAAGAAAGUAUUUACUACUGGGCCUUUAGUCAUUCAGGUAGCGAAUAGUCAGCCAGCCCCUUCCACGUGCCAGCUCCUGGUCCAGGGCACAUGGAGCUUAUGCUCAAGUGGUUGGGACAGACUGUAAGCACCAGAAGCAAAUCACAUAGUGUGUUAGCGAGGAGAACUGUGGAGAAAAGAGAAGUCAGAACUGGGAAAGGGAGAGGUGGAGGGUGAUGGAUAGGAGGGUCAGAAGUAGGUUGCAGUAAUAAAUACAAUGGUUAGGGUGAGCCUCACAGAUAAGGUGAGGUUAGAACAAAGAUCGAAGGGAAUGAGGAACUGAGACAGGGGAAAGAGCAUUGCAGGUGGGGUCCUGAGGCAGCACUGUGGCAGCUCGUUCAGGGAUUGGCAAGGAGGCCAGUGUGAGGAAGGGGAGAAUUGUAAGACCUGAAUUCAUAGCUCAUGGGAGGGAAAAUAAGGCCAGAUACUACAUGUAGACUCUUACCUAAUCCUCACAACAACUCCAGAAGUAGUUCUGUGUUGCCCCCGUUUAACAGGGGAGGAAACUGGCACAGAGAGGCUAAGUAAUUUGCCCAAGGUAACACAGCUAAUAAAAAUAGUCAUCAAGCGCAGGUGGUCCAACUUCAGAGUGAGGUGUUUAACACACACCAGGCCACCCAGCCGUUCCCUGUAACCCAGGUGAAGACAGGGCAGGGCUCCAAGCUCCUUCUGGACCUGUGAGUCUGAGUUAGGCAGGGCUGGUGUCCCACGGCUCCUUUCUGCCCUGUUGGAGUGACCUCAUAGGCUAACCUCAGUGAUCUCCAACCAGCCCCUUUCAUCUGGCCUUAGUGCAUCCCUGAGAUUCCUCUGAAUCAUGCAUUUUUUUAGCACCAGGUCAUUGACAGAAGAGAAGAAAAGCCCACUUAUAGGGCACAUGAAUGGGAAGGAACAAAUGGAAGGGUCACUGUAUUUGUUUCCCAUUGCUUUGGUGACAAAUUACCACCAACUUAGUGGCUUCCAACACACCUUCAUUCUCCUACGGUUCUGAAGGUCAGAUGUCUGGAAUGGUUUAGGCAGGGCCAUGUUCAUUCUGGAGGCUCUGGGGAGAAUGUGUGACCUUGCCCUUUACAGCUUCUAGAUGCCACCUGCAUUCCCUUCCUGCAUCUUCAAAACUGGUGGCACAGUGUAUCCAGACAUUUUUCUCUCUGACUGUGCUUCCAUCAUCUUCUCUGUCUCUGACCUCCUGUCUCCCUCUCAUAAGGGCCUUAUGACCACAUUGAGCCCACCUGGAUAAUCCAGGAUCAUCUCCCCACCUCAGCAUCCUUCAUUUCGUCAUAUCUGCAAAGUCCCCAUUUUGGCCUUUUUUAGACCCUGGCCUUUUCCAAAGACAAGAGGGCUUGGAAUGACUGCUGUUAGAACUGUUCUCUGUGCUGUGGUUUCAACAUAAAAUGGUUGCACUCCACCCCACUUUCAGCAUGCCAGGAAGCAUUCUGGACUGGUUACUAAGUCAGUCAAUAAUUUUUAUUGAGCACCGCUUUGCACAGGGCAUGGUCUCACAUGGGAGGAGAGAGUGAACAAAACAGUUAAGGUGUCUGCUCUCAUAGAGCCCAAGUCACAUGGGGGAGAUGGUACCUGCAUAAACAAGCCCUUUUCAGGAAGCUGGGGGUACUGCACAGAAAAUGGAGCAGUAGAAUGGCGUAGACUGUAUAGUAUGAAGCAGUGCUGUCCUGUAGAAACAUAAUGCAAGGCAGAAUUUUAAAUUUUCCGGAAGCCAUAUUGAAAAAAGUAAACAAAUUAUUAAAGUUAAUUUUAAUAAUACAUUUUGUUUAACUCAAUACAGUAUAUCUGAAAUAUUACCGUUUUAAUUCAUAAUCAAUAUAAACAGUUACCAGUGAGAUUUUUUUACAUUCUUUUUUUCUUUUUUAACUGAGUCUUUAAAGUCAGGUGUGUCUUCUACAUGUAUAGUGCACCUCAAUCCAGACACUUAAUUGAUCUGUAUUUAAAUUUCAUAAAAUUUACCAUUGGAAAAGUAGAUUCAACACCCAAGUUAUUCCAAACAUACUUAAAAGUUUAUAGUAACUGAGUUAAGGAUCAAUUCUUAAUUUUAGAUUAAUAAUAAAUUUUAAUUCAGUGAUUUUAGUAUUUAUCAUUUAUUAUGGUUUUAAUAAUAAACAAAUUGAAAUAAAAUUAAACAGUUUCUUAUUUCCAGAACUCCGCGUCUCACGUGGCUGCUGGCAUGUGUUGGGCAGCACAGGUAUAGAGUGGCUCAGGGUGAUAGAGGGCCUCCUGGGGAGGUGAUACUUGACGUCUCACCUCUUCCUCUCCCACUAAUGCACACCAUUGAGAUUACCCUUCUAGAUUUCUGCAUACCUAUCUAAUGAGUCCCUUCUCCAGCUGUUGCUUCCCCCUCGCCCCUCCCCCACCACACACACCCAGUUUAUUUGCCACAUAGCCACCGAGAAAAAUUUUGUUAAAUGUUAGGUCAGCCACAUCAUUCCUCUGCUCAGCCACCAACCCCCCAUGAUGACUUAUUGCGCUUAGGAUGAAUUCCAAACUGCUCCUCACCCCUUCAUGAUCUGGCCCCUCCUGCCCUCACACACCUCCUAGUCCACCACUCCCCGUCUCGCUCACUCUGCGUCAGCUCACCCGCCUUCGCACUUCCCUUCACAUGCAAGCAUGUGCCUGCCGCAGGGCCCGUGCACCUGUUGUACGUCUACCCAGAAUGCCCUUCUCCCAGUGCCCAGGUGGCUCACACUGCAGUCACACCUCGGCUCAAUGUUGCCUCCUCUGAGAGGCCUUUCCCUGCCACCCCGUCACUCCAUCCCCUGCUCGGGUCCUUUUUUUCCUGCAUAGCAGUGAUCUCAGCUAACACUGUGUUCUUUUUUUUUUUUUAACACUGUGUUCUAUCUGGACUUGUCUUCCCUGCUGGAAUGUAAGGUACUUGGGAGCCAGUACCUCUCUGCUCUAACUCUGCUCUCUCCCCAGCACUGGGGACAGUGCCUGGCACCUGAUGAACACUCCACAAUUCCUUGUCAAAUGGAAGAACAGGUGUCUGCCUGUCUCAUUUGCCUCCUGAUCUGGAGCCUCCUGUGAUCUUAAGAACAGAUAGUGUUGGCCGUGGUCCCUCCCUAACCCUGAGAAGGGGCAGGAAUGCUUCAGAAGAUGUUGUGACCUCCUGCAAUGUGCACGUCUGUGCACGUGUGUGUGACCAGGGUGUGGGGCCAGGGGAUUCUUAUCCUAGAGACGCUGGGACCACCCAGAAGGCCCAGUGACUCAUGACUUCUCUUCUCUCCCAGCCCCACCUUCUCAGCACUCUGCCCCUCUUCAAAUUGAAA